UACGUAGGUGGCGAGCGUUGUCCGGAUUUACUGGGCGUAAAGAGCGCGCAGGCGGUCGUUCAAGUCGCGUGUGAAAGCCCCCGGCUCAACUGGGGAGGGUCACGCGAUACUGAUCGACUCGAAGGCAGGAGAGGGAAGUGGAAUUCUCGGUGUAGCGGUGAAGUGCGUAGAGAUCGGGAGGAACACCUGUGGCGGAAGGCGGCCGACUGGCCGACCCUGACGCUGAGGCGCGAAGGCGUGGGGAGCGAACGGG
rnacentral:rRNA from 1 species